GCAUCCGUAGCUCAGCUGGAUAGAGUACGCGGCUACGAACCGAGCGGUCGGAGGUUCGAAUCCUCCCGGAUGGACUA
rnacentral:tRNA from 1 species